rnacentral:lncRNA from 1 species
CAGGAAGUUACCUGGUCCCUGGGCAGGUGGGGCUUCCAGGUUAAUUUGGGGCGUCCCACGAUCUUUCUACAUCCUUAUGCUGACGAUGGUCUUUCUGCCUCCAUCUUCUGAGUGCUGGGACAGUGCCAAGCUUCUCACAUGUCACCUUAAAAAUAUAGAAAGAUCAUGCAUUCAGGUUAGCCUUAUAGGCAAUGCAUUUUUUGACAUACUUUUCUGGAGGUUGCCACAUUCCUCAAAUUGAAAAAGGCCUCUGUGUAGCCUAAGGCAUUCACAGAGCUGUUCCUUGGUCCCAAGGGCUG